rnacentral:rRNA from 1 species
CCUACGGGAGGCAUCAGUGGGGGAUAUUGCACAAUGGGCGAAACCCUGAUGCAGCGACGCCGCGUGGGUGAAGAAGCGCCUCGGCGCGUAAAGCCCUGUCUGCAGGGAAGAAAAUGACGGUACCUGAAGAAGAAGCCCCGGCUAACUACGUGCCAGCAGCCGCGGUAAUACGUAGGCGGCAAGCGUUAUCCGGAUUUACUGGGUGUAAAGGGGGCGCAGACGGGGAUGAAAGCCAGGAGUGAAAGUCUGGGGCCCAACCCCGGGAUUGCAAUUGGAACUGGGUGGCUAGAGUGCAGGAGGGGCAGGCGGAAUUCGUGGUGUAGCGGUGAAAUGCGUAGAUAUCAGGAAGAACACCGAUGGCGAAGGCAGCCUGCUAGACUGCAACUGACGUUGAGGCCCGAAAGCGUGGGGAGCAAACAGGAUUAGAUACCCGUGUAGUC